AUCUUUGAUGGUCUAACGGUCAUGAUUUCCGCUUGUCAUAUGACAAAGCGCGGGAGACCGGGGUUCGACUCCCCGUCAGAGAG
rnacentral:tRNA from 1 species